rnacentral:rRNA from 1 species
CGCGUAGGUGGUUCAGUCAGUCAGAUGUGAAAGCCCCGGGCUCAACCUGGGAACUGCACCUGAUACUGCUGAGCUAGAGUACGGUAGAGGGCAGUGGAACUUCCGGUGUAGCGGUGAAAUGCGUAGAGAUCGGAAGGAACACCAGUGGCGAAGGCGACUGCCUGGACUGAUACUGACACUGAGGUGCGAAAGCGUGGGUAGCAAACA